rnacentral:lncRNA from 10 species
UAUUCACAGGUGCAAUCAUAGUGCACUACAGCCUCAAACUCCUAGCCUCAAGCAAUCCUCAUGCCUCAGCCUCCAGAGUAGCUGGGCCUACAGGUACUUAACACCUCAUCUGGCAUCCCCCAGUCAGAUAUUUGGAUGAGACCCCUGCCUUGGCUAACACCUUGAUGAAAACCUGUGGAAGGUUCUAAGGCAGGACCCUCAGCGCAGCCACUUCUCCAGGCACUCGGCAGAGAGAACGCGCGUAGGCGUUGCCCUGGCAACGCCGGGAUGCCCAGCAACAAGUCCGCGGCGUGUAUCACGUGCUCGGCGCGGACCAAUCCGAGGGCCCGCCGGGAAGCAGGAGCAAUAGCAAAAAUUGGGAAUGGGAAGAAACAGGUACCAGCCAGGACACCUGAACGAACUUGGAGCUCAGGAACCCAGGAGGGGAUUGGAGAGAGUGGGGAGACUCCAUGGUCCACAAUGAAUGCUCCUUCCCCAUCCGAAAAAAUCCCCUAGCCCAGUUUUUGGGCAGAUGCCAGACUUUUAUUCUGAAGCGUGGGCCACAACCUAUGAGGUAAUCUUUGGAGCUUCAUUCUGAGGCGGAAUCCCAUUGGCCAGUUGGGGAAGCCCCUCCCAGGAUUCCUGGCGCUCCGCCUUCCCUGAAGCCUAUAAAAGCGCAGGUCCCCGCCUCGGCAGCCACGGGACACCUGCAUCUGCCAACAAGACUGGAAGCAGAAAGGGACAGAGACGGCGAAGUUUGACGGUCUGGAAAGCAGAGACCAGCAGGGCUGACUGCUUGGGAGCACGAGGGACAGCUCUCCACCGACCGAAGGAGGAGAAUGCUAUUUAUUUCAGCACCAAAUAUCCGGACAGCGCCUCUCGGGAGGUCCGAGAAGAGAACCGCGAUCUGUUUCAGCACCGGGGCUCAGGACAGUUCCCAGCGGGCUCCGUUUCGUCUCCAGAACCCUGGACAGCUCCUCCAGAGACGGGGUUUCACCAUGUUGGCCAGGCUGGUCUCAAACUCUUGACCUCUUCAUCCGUCCACCUCAGCCUCCCAAAGUGCUAGGAUUACAGGCGUGAGUCACUGCGCCUGGCCCAAGUCCGGAAUUUUCAACAGGACAUGGGUGUUACUGUGCCCAUGUGACAUUUGGGGAACCCAAGGCCCUGAGAAAGGCAGAAAAAUAACCCACGCAGGGACUCUCAGCCCACAAGUGAAGCUCUUGGAAUGCACUCCCUCCACCUCCAACCAGAGCUCCCCACAACUGACCCUGCCUUCUUCUGCAAGCUCCAUUUCAUCAAGGGAAACGAUCCUUAUUGCCUCACCAUUUCCCACGUGAAGUCUGUAUUGACAUUCUCAUAGACCUGGGAUAUUGUGUCUGCAGCACAUAGUCCAAUUAUUUUCAUGUUAUCUACUGACAGGUCUAUUUGUCUCCCUGUUACACUGUGAGCUCCGUGAGGGCAGAAACAAUGUUAGUAUUUUCACUGCUGUGUCCCCAGCGCCUGGUCCGGGGCCCGGCACACAGCAGGCAUAUAAUAAGCAUGUGUUGAAUCAAUAAAGGCAUCAAAGAAUAAACCAAUACAUCAAUCAAUAAAUGAAUGAAUGGCCUCAGCACACACAGGAAGAUCCUUCUUCUAGGUCUCCCCCAGAGAGAUACUGGAGGGCAAUGGUUGCUGGAGGUGUUUAUUGGGGAAGCAUAAUUGAAUUUGUGGACACUUAAGGGCCGGCCAGCCAACUCACAGCCCCAAGAGAGAGAGCCAGGCUCAUUUAAUUAGCAAUUACAAGGCACUGAUUCCUCAUUAGCUCUGGCAACCCUCGUCUCCCUCCUCAGCCCCAGACAAAUGAAAUCUUUCUCUCUCUCCCAGGAGUACUGCCUCAGUGGGUCCAUUAACAAGCAGAGAAAAUGAGAUUAGAAGACACCUAAAUGCCAGAGGCACUUUAUGAAUGGGCUGAGCAGAGGGAGGUUCAAUGUCUGGGUUAGGUCUAAUUGUGGGAGGUUUCCUGGUCUAUUUAGAAUUGCCCCCUGGGAAUGCAAGGUCUUUCAGAAAGGAAAAGGCACACAGAUAUUGCCUUCUGGGGUCCUCAAUGGAGGAGGACAUUCUGCUAUGGGUGUCUCCCAGUCACCCCAAAUUAAUCAUUUCAAAGUGAACACUCAAUCUGCCCAGCCCCUAGCUUCCUCCCCUGACAUGCCCAUGAAUAUGACAGUCCCUCUACAUGCCCAAGAUCCUCCCCUCCUCAUCCACUCCCCAUGAUCCCCAAGAUGAGUCACUGUGCUCAAAUCCAUCCUCUCUCCUCCAGCCCUCUGCCUCCAUGACCUCCCUCCAGCCCUCUGCCUCCAUGACCUCCGCCUCCCUGCAUGUCCGGAUCUCCUCACUGUCUCCCCUCUGAGCAUACACACACAUACAGCCUGUUCAUUCUCUACAUGCAGCGAGGGGACUUUCCAGAACACACAUCUGACCAAGUUCCACUCCUGCCUGUCACCCUUCCAAGAGCCCCACUGACUGCAGAAUAACGUUCAAAUAUCCGGUUGGGCGUGGUGGCUCAUGCCUGCAGUCCCAGCACUUUGGGAGGCCAAGGUGGGUGGAUCACUUGCACAGGACCACAGGCGUGUGCCACCACACCCAGCUAAUUUUUAUAUUUUUGGUAGAGACGGAGUUUCACCAUGUUGGCCAGGCUGACCUCAAGUGAUCCACCCGCCUCAACCUCCCAAAGUGCUGGGAUUACAGGCAUGAGUCACUGCACCGGUCUAAUUUUUUCAGAGUCUCACUCUUGCCCAGGCUGGAGUGCAGUAGCAUGAUCUCGGUUCACUGCAACCUCUGCCUCCUGGUUUCAAGCGAUUCUCUUGGCUCAGCCUCCUGAGCAGCUGGGAUUACAGGCACGUGCCACCACACUUAGCUAAUUUUUGUAUUUUUAGUAGAGAUGGGGGUCUCACCAUGCUGGCACAGUUGGUCUUGAACUCCUGACCUCAAGUGAUCCACCCACCUCGGCUUCCCAAAGUGCUGGGAUUACAGACGUGAGCCACCGCGCCCGGCCAGCCUUUAUUGAUUCUUUUUAAAGCCACACUAACCUUUUAUUUUCCCCCAAAGACCCCUGGGAGCCCUCAGUUUUUCCUGGCAGUUUCAUCUUUGUACCCCUGACCUCCCCACACACACGCCUAGCUCAGUGCUGGCAUCCAAUAUUCACUUUGGGUAUAAAUGCUUGUGCCUGAGCCUAUCACCUUCAUCACACAGAAAAUCCUGGAGGCCACACACCCCUGUAAAGACGAGCCAUUACCCACAGAGGUCCAACCAACUUACCACCCUCUCCCAGCCACCCCCAAGGACCCAGCUUGCAGCUGCCUGCUCAAUGGCUUUAGAAACUAAAAAAGGUGAAUGAGUUUCCAUCACUGCCCUCCUGGGCUUUGCCGUUAUGGCUGGUUAACUUGACAGAAGAACACAUUAUACUUCAUUUUUUGCUGUUGUCUUGUUGGAAAAAAAAGUGACAGCUGGGUGCAGUGGUGCACACUGUAGUCACAGCUACUCAGGAGAAUUGCUUGAGCACAGGAAUUGGAGGCUACACUGAGCAAUGAUCGCCUCACUGCACUCCAGCCUGAACGACAGAGCAAGACCCUCUUAAAAAAUACGUGAGAGAGGGUGCGUAUGAUGGCUCAUGCCUGUAAUCCCAGCAGUUUG